CACACCGUAAACGAUGGAUACUAGGUGUCGGGGACUUGAUCUUCGGUGCCGUAGCUAACGCGUUAAGUAUCCCGCCUGGGGAGUACGGUCGCAAGGCUGAAACUCAAAGAAAUUGACGGGGGCCCGCACAAGCGGUGGAGUAUGUGGUUUAAUUCGAUGCAACGCGAAGAACCUUACCUAGGCUUGACAUCCUGGGAAUCCUGCAGAGAUGCGGGAGUGCCCUUCGGGGAAUCCAGAGACAGGUGC
rnacentral:rRNA from 2 species